rnacentral:rRNA from 1 species
ACGAACGCUGGCGGCGUGCUUCACACAUGCAAGUCGCACGGAAAGGCCCUGCUUUUGUGGGGUGCUCGAGUGGCGAACGGGUGAGUAACACGUGAGUAACCUGCCCUUGACUUUGGGAUAACUUCAGGAAACUGGGGCUAAUACCGGGUAGGAGCUCCUGCUGCAUGGUGGGGGUUGGAAAGUUUCGGCGGUUGGGGAUGGACUCGCGGCUUAUCAGCUUGUUGGUGGGGUAGUGGCUUACCAAGGCUUUGACGGGUAGCCGGCCUGAGAGGGUGACCGGCCACAUUGGGACUGAGAUACGGCCCAGACUCCUACGGGAGGCAGCAGUGGGGAAUAUUGCACAAUGGGCGGAAGCCUGAUGCAGCAACGCCGCGUGCGGGAUGACGGCCUUCGGGUUGUAAACCGCUUUCGCCUGUGACGAAGCGUGAGUGACGGUAAUGGGUAAAGAAGCACCGGCUAACUACGUG